rnacentral:misc_RNA from 1 species
AAAUAUCUUGCUUAGUGCACUGUUUUCAGUUGACCAAGAAAUUACAAGGUGGUAUGAAAUAAGGAUUUUUUUUUUAAUUUAAUUUAAUAUAAAUUUAAGAUAUAAGAUAUACAGUAAAAUAUAUGCGUUGACUGCACGAAUAUCCAGGUCUAGGCAACCCAUGAAACAAACUUCACUUUCACUUCCUUCUCUCGGAGUAAAAAAUGGUUGCUAUCAACUGACUCAGAAGUCAGAUCAACAGAAGAACUCUUGAAGCACAAAUUUUGCGUGUUCUUCUAUGGGAAAUGCCUGGAUUUCUUGAAUGCUUUAUGGCUCAUCUCAGGAACUGUAAAAGCAUCCUCAAUUAUCCAUUUCCUGUUAUCUUUCCGAUUGUUUACUUCUUUGGACUCCUUCGAUCCAUUAAGCAAACCUCCUUUAAUCUGGGGAUGGUAUGCAGGAUCUUGUUGAGGUAAUUGGGUUGAGACUUGAGGUACCCAGAAGGCUAAAUCUUCCUGGGAAAAAGAACUAAUAUGGCUUUCAAGAUCUUGAUCCUCCACCAAUGGCGAAAAAUUGGAAAAACUCUUACAGAAACCAUCAUCAGGAGCAAUUGAAGGAUCAAGGAAAUCGUCGACUCGCCAGCCCGGAAGUGUCUCUAAGUACUCAGAAAUGCUACUCGUUGAAAUUGAAAUGUUAUCGCUGUGGUGACUAUCAUUUGCUAUUGACGGUGAUUGUAUUUCAACCGAAGGACAACUGAAGAUUUCAUUGGAAAAGCUACAGGGAUUAUGUAGGCAUGUCUGCUGGGGGCUUUUCCUAUUGUUAGUGUUCAUACUUGUGUUGCAGCUGUUGGAAGAAGGUGAUCUUGGGUAUAAAGAAGAAGAAGUAGAGAGCUUGACGCCUGUGAGAAGAAAUCUGUUGUGUUUCUUGGUAUGUUCAUUGGCUUUGUGGAUUGGAAGAUCACAUUCUCUGCAGAGAAUAGCUCUAUCUUCUUGGCAGAAGAGGAAGGCUCGUCUCUCCUGACAGACAUCACAAAGAGGGGAUUGUUUAGAGGAAGGAUGAAGAAGAGAGUGGCGCAUGUGUUUGCUUGCAAGCUUAUUUGCAUGGUGGACAUGGCGAUCACAACCAUCACAAAGAGCAGCUUCAUCUGCAGAACAAAACACAGAGGCCUCAGCCAUGCCACAAACAUCACAUUUG